rnacentral:lncRNA from 1 species
UGGGUGUAGUCGCUCUCCAGCUGCGCCCACACGUCGGGCGCCAGGAGCCGGAGGCAGCGGCUCCGCGGGCAGAGCCAGCCUUCAGAUUCCAUAUUCCUUAAGGACACUGCGAGUCCAUAAAUUGGCUUGGCUGAGAAGGUGAAAAGCAGGAACCUGAUCUUAAGGACUAGUGGAGCACAGUUUCAUGUCUCUGGAUGAUGCAGCAACCUGAGGGCAGAAGACCACCCCACUGGGCGGCCCCCACCAACAGGCUCAGCCAGGCAGACUGGACAGGGGAGGGGCGGAUGCUCCUGGGGAAGAGCCGCAGUCACCAUGGACACUGCCUCAACGCAGACCCUCCAAGGGGCUUCCACCUGGACUGUCGCUGCAUCCUGACUCCGUGUCCUCUCUUCCGUCCCCUCGGCCUGAGCAGCUGCUGCACCUAGCACUCUGAGGAGCACAGACGGCAUUGGCCCUGGGGCCUGUCUGACAGCACCCUGCAUAGUGACAUCCGCUAGAGAGC